CAGCAGCCGCGGUAAUACGUAGGUGGCAAGCGUUGUCCGGAAUUAUUGGGCGUAAGGGGCUCGCAGGCGGUUUCUCAAGUCUGAUGUGAAAGCCCCCGGCUCAACCGGGGAGGGUCAUUGGAAACUGGGAAACUUGAGUGCAGAAGAGGAGAGUGGAAUUCCACGUGUAGCGGUGAAAUGCGUAGAGAUGUGGAGGAACACCAGUGGCGAAGGCGACUUUCUGGUCUGUAACUGACGCUGAGGAGCGAAAGCGUGGGGAGCGAACAGGAUUAGAUACCCCCGUAGUCCCUGUCUCUUAUAC
rnacentral:rRNA from 1 species